GAUGAACGCUGGCGGCGUGCCUAAUACAUGCAAGUCGAGCGAACAGAUGAGGAGCUUGCUCCUCUGACGUUAGCGGCGGACGGGUGAGUAACACGUGGAUCACCUACCUAUAAGACUGGGAUAACUUCGGGAAACCGGAGCUAAUACCGGAUAAUAUAUUGAACCGCAUGGUUCAAUAGUGAAAGACGGUUUUGCUGUCACUUAUAGAUGGAUCCGCGCCGCAUUAGCUAGUUGGUAAGGUAACGGCUUACCAAGGCGACGAUGCGUAGCCGACCUGAGAGGGUGAUCGGCCACCCUGGAACUGAGACACGGUCCAGACUCCUACGGGAGGCAGCAGUAGGGAAUCUUCCGCAAUGGGCGAAAGCCUGACGGAGCAACGCCGCGUGAGUGAUGAAGGUCUUCGGAUCGUAAAACUGUGUUAUUAGGGAAGAACAAAUGUGUAAGUAACUAUGCACGUCUUGACGGUACCUAAUCAGAAAGCCACGGCUAACUACGUG
rnacentral:rRNA from 1 species